AGAAGACUAAACUUACAAAAAAAUGCAUCACACACUCACAUGUGAUGAAUGCAUGAACAUGCAUGAAUCCAUGAUCAGAUAGGUGAGCAAACACCAACAGCCGUCCAAAACGACUCAAACCUCAAUCCGUCUAGUGGUUUCAUAAGUAGAUCAGCCAAUUGAUUAUCAGUAGAGACAUGGUCGAGAGAGAUUACAUGUGAUUCAACAAGCUCACGAAUAAAAUGAUGUCGUCUGUCUAUAUGUUUCAUUCAAGAGUGUUGAAUGGGAUUCUUAGAAAUAUUUAUAGCACUUGUAUUAUCACAGAAAAUAGUCAUGGUCCCUUGACUAAUCCCAUAAUCACUCAGCAUCUGCUUCAUCCAGAGAAGCUGAGUGCAGCAACUCCCUGCAGCUAUGUAUUCGGCCUCUGCCGUGGAUAGAGAUAUAGAAUUCUGUUUCUUACUUAACCAGGCUACGAGAUUGCUACCCAUGUAAAAACAAUCCCCUGUCGUACUUUUCCUAUCAUCUGCGUUCCCGGCCCAAUCGGCGUCGGAGUAACCAGCCAAAUCAAGAUUAGAAUUCCUAGAAUAGAAUAUCUCUAGAUCAAUUGUACCACUCACAUAUCUAAUGAUGCGUCUAACAGAGCUUAAGUGUGAUUCUUUUGGAUCUGCCUGAAAUCGAGCACACACACCAACACUAAAAGCAAUGUCAGGUCUAGUAGCUGUGAGAUAAAGAAGACUACCUAUCAUGCUUCGAUAUAGGGAAGGAUCUACACUCUUACCUGAAGGAUCACAACCUAACUUCAAGCUAGUACUCAUAGGUGUCCUAGUAUGCUUCUUACUAUCUAGCCCAAAGCGCUUAACUAGAUCCUUAGCAUACUUAGACUGUGAAAUGAACAAUCCAUCCUCUGUCUGUCUUACCUGAAGUCCAAGGAAAUAACUCAACUCCCCAACCAUACUCAUCUCAAAUUCUUGCUUCAAAUACUCAGCAAACUCAUAAGCUGAAGACUCAAGAGGAGAGCCAAAAAUAAUGUCAUCGACAUAAAUCUGAGCAAUGGUGAUAGUUUCAUCAACAUGUCUAAUAAAUAAGGUCCUAUCUACACCACCUCGAAAGAAUCCAUGUUCUUCAAGGUAUGAUGUAAGUCUCUCAUACCAAGCUCUAGGAGCUUGCUUUAGACCAAGAGGGCUUUGUGUAGUUUGUAGACAUAGUGGGG
rnacentral:lncRNA from 1 species